rnacentral:rRNA from 1 species
GCCGAGUGAGGGAUGACGGCCUUCGGGUUGUAAACCUCUUUCAAUAGGGACGAAGCGCAAGUGACGGUACCUAUAGAAGAAGGACCGGCCAACUACGUGCCAGCAGCCGCGGUAAUACGUAGGGUCCGAGCGUUGUCCGGAAUUACUGGGCGUAAAGAGCUCGUAGGUGGUUUGUCGCGUUGUUCGUGAAAACUCACAGCUUAACUGUGGGCGUGCGGGCGAUACGGGCAGACUAGAGUACUGCAGGGGAGACUGGAAUUCCUGGUGUAGCGGUGGAAUGCGCAGAUAUCAGGAGGAACACCGGUGGCGAAGGCGGGUCUCUGGGCAGUAACUGACGCUGAGGAGCGAAAGCGUGGGGAGCGAACAGGAUUAGAUACCCUGGUAGUCCACGCCGUAAACGGUGGGUACUAGGUGUGGGUUUCCUUCCUUGGGAUCCGUGCCGUAGCUAACGCAUUAAGUACCCCGCCUGGGGAG